GUGUCAGCAGCCGCGGUAAUACAGAGGGGGCAAGCGUUAUCCGGAUUUACUGGGCGUAAAGCGCGCUAAGGCGGCUGGUUAAGUUGGGGGUGAAAUUUCAGGGCUCAACCCUGAAACUGCCUCCAAUACUGAUCGGCUAGAGUGUGAGAGAGGAAGGUGGAAUUCCCGGUGUAGUAGUGAAAUGCGUAGAUAUCGGGAGGAACACCAGUGGCGAAGGCGGCCUUCUGGCUCACAACUGACGCUGUAGCGCGAAAGCGUGGGGAGCGAACGGGAUUAGAUACCCUGGUAGUCC
rnacentral:rRNA from 1 species